rnacentral:rRNA from 1 species
UACGAAGGGUGCUAGCGUUGUUCGGAAUCACUGGGCGUAAAGCGCGCGUAGGCGGCUAUUCAAGUCAGAGGUGAAAUCCUGGAGCUUAACUCCAGAAUUGCCUUUGAAACUGUAUAGCUUGAGUGUCGGAGGGGAUAGCGGAAUUCCUAAUGUAGAGGUGAAACUCGUAGAUAUUAGGAGGAACACCGGUGGCGAAGGCGGCUAUCUGGACGACAACUGACGCUGAGGCGCGAAAGCGUGGGGAUCAAACAGG